CAACAUCUGAAGCAUUAGCAUCUGGUCUGCCUGGGAUGACAUAGAAACGGGCCUGACCGCCCCCUGAUCGACCUUCCCCUGUGGAGCGACCCCUGGCUGACUGAUCUCAACCCCUAGUUGGCUGAGAGGGUGGUAAUGAAGAGACUGGCGCUGAAGCCGAUAACUGGCCCCUCCACUAGGAUGAACUAGCAACACGACGAGGACACUGCCUCCAUAUGUGGCCCAUCUCACCACACUCAUAUCAACUCCCACGUGCUGGAGAAGGAGACUGAAGGGAACCCCUCGCAUCGGAGUGACUAGCAGAUGCACUCUGCAUAGAAGAGCCCGGAGUUGAUGGAGCAUGAGAUGAACUCUGAGCUGGAAGGGUGCUGAGUGAUGACUGGCCUGCUGAUAUCCAUGAUAUUCAUGAAUCGAUUAUGCACCGCGAUAACCUGGGUGAGCUGACUGAGCAGGCCUGAAUGAACAGCCUUUGCUGUGCUAAAACAGGCCCCUAGAAGGACCACCACUUUACUGCCCGAUCCUCGAGGCCUCUUGGCCUCCCUCUCCCCUCGCUCCUGACGGUGAACUGACUCAAUCUCACGGGCGAUAUCAACUACCUCCUCAAAUGUAGUACCAGAUACCCUCUCCCUAGUCAUAAGAAUACGAAGCUGAUAAGUAAGACCAUUAACAAAUCUCCCGAUCGUCUCUCAAUCUGACGGAACCAACCACAUGGCGUGACGAGCCAACUUAGAAAACCUCAACUCAUACUGUGACACGGUCAUCUCCCCCUGAUGCAACCACUCAAAAUAUCUAUGCAGCUCCUCUCUGUGAGACUGCGAAAUAUACUUCUCCAGGAAGAGAACGGAGAACUGAUGCCAAGAAAGGGGUGUUGCACCAACAAGCCUACCCCUCUCAAAAUCUUCCCACCAAGUGAAAGCAGCUCCUAAAAACUGGUAGAUGGUAAAAGCGACCCCGCUGAUCUCCAGAAUACCUGCACUAUGAAGCAUCAUCUGACACUUCUCCGAAAAACCCUAGGCAUCAUCGCCCUCUUUGCCACUCAAGGUCGGAGGCUGUAAUCUACCAAAUCUCUCCAACCUACGGUGCUCAUCCUCUGGCAUGACAGGCGCCACAUAAUCCUGAAUAGCUACAAUCGACUAGGCUUGAUGUGCCCCUAAUGUCUGAAGUCCC
rnacentral:lncRNA from 1 species